AAUAUCUCCCUGCUCGCAAUGGGCCUUUCUCACCUGAGGGAUAUGUCGUCUUGUUUUUGCAUCAUUAGAUCUGACCAGAACAGCACAGCACCAUAUUCCCCUCUGAGAGGCCGUCACACACCCAUCAGCCUCCCGGGGAGAGGGGGCAGACCCAGCAACAGCACUCAUAAAGAAAGUAAAUCACACUACACACACACACACAUACACACCAUCAACGCCACCCUCCUAGCACUCCCAGUCAGCGCGAGAGUGUAACAGUGACCAGCCCAGAGACGCAAAUCAUCCCCACACACACAUUACCUUAAUGAUGUCAGAUCAGGACCCCCCAAGGCCAAGGGCCCUGAUUGGCCCUUAGUCCCUCACAGGUCUAAUGAGAAGGAGCUGGUGUUGGGAAAUGUGGCCGGGCUAAUUAAAGGUGCUAUCUGCGAGACAAUUGCUUAUUUUGUUAUUGCUUUAGAAAGGUGAACGUCCCAGAGGCUCUGACACCAUCAUAUCCCUCACACACGCGGCCAAUUAGAGCCCGGCAGGAGCCGGAGACUUCCGAACAACUGUAGCAAAAUAUAGUUGCAGAGGACAGCACUGAAUGUGUACAUGUGCACAAAGAUUACCUCACUUUUUUAUAUCAUCACUCAUAUAUUUUAUAUACAGCUCUGAACAAAUGAAAAAAAAAAAGAGACCACUUAAAAAUGGUGAGUUUCUUUCAUUUUACCAAAUUGAAAGGAAGAGAGAGGAAGAUGGGUGAUCAAAAGCCAUCAAACCAAGCUGAACAGCUUGAAUUGUUGCACCAGGAUUAAAAGCAUAAAGUUAUCCAAAAGCAGUGUGUAAGACUGGUGGAGGAGAACAUGAUGCCAAGAUGCAUGAAAUCUGUGAUUACAAACCAGGGUUAUUCCACCAAAUAUUGAUUUCUGAACUCUUAAACUUUAUGAAUAUGAUCUUGUUUUCUUUGCAAUAUUUGAGGUCUGAAAGCUCUGCAUUUUUUUGUCAUUUCAGCCAUAUCUUUUUUUUUUUUUUUGCAAAUAAAUUCUUUAAAUGACAAUAUUUUUAUUUGGAA
rnacentral:lncRNA from 1 species